rnacentral:rRNA from 1 species
GACGAACGCUGGCGGCGUGCCUAAUACAUGCAAGUAGAACGCUGAAGAGAGGAGCUUGCUCUUCUUGGAUGAGCUGCGAACGGGUGAGUAACGCGUAGGUAACCUGCCUUGUAGCGGGGGAUAACUAUUGGAAACGAUAGCUAAUACCGCAUAACAAUGGAUGACACAUGUCAUUUAUUUGAAAGGGGCAAUUGCUCCACUACAAGAUGGACCUGCGUUGUAUUAGCUAGUAGGUGAGGUAACGGCUCACCUAGGCGACGAUACAUAGCCGACCUGAGAGGGUGAUCGGCCACACUGGGACUGAGACACGGCCCAGACUCCUACGGGAGGCAGCAGGAGGGAAUCUUCGGCAAUGGGGGCAACCCUGACCGAGCAACGCCGCGUGAGUGAAGAAGGGUUUCGGAUCGUAAAGCUCGGUUGUAAGUCAAGAACGAGUGUGAGAGUGGAAAGUUCACACUGUGACGGUAGCUUACCAGAAAGGGACGGCUAACUACGUG